rnacentral:rRNA from 1 species
GAUGAACGCUGGCGGCGUGCCUAAUACAUGCAAGUCGAGCGAACGGACGCGACGCUUGCUUCUCUGAUGUUAGCGGCGGACGGGUGAGUAACACGUGGAUAACCUACCUAUCAGACUGGGAUAACUUCGGGACACCGGCGCUAAUCCCGGAUGAUCUUUUGAACCGCAUGGUUCAAAAGUGAAAGACGGUCUUGCUGUCACUUCUCGAUGGAUCCGCGCUGCAUUAGAUAGUUGGGAAGGUAACGGCUUACCAAGGCAACGAUGCAUAGCCGACCUGAGAGGGUGAUAGGCCACACGGGAACUGAGACACGGUCAAGACGCCUACGGGAGGCAGCAGUAGGGAAUGUUCCGCAAUGGGCGAAAGCAUGACGGAGCAACGCCGCGCGAGUGAUGAAGGUCUUCGGAUCGUAAAAAUCUGUUAUUAGGGAAGAACAUAUGUGUAAGUAACUGUGCACAGCUUGACGGUACCUAAUCAGAAAGCCACGGCUAACUACGUG